rnacentral:rRNA from 1 species
CCUACGGGGGACAGCAGUGGGGAAUAUUGGUCAAUGGGCGCUAGCCUGACCCAGCAAAGUAGCGUGAAGGAUGACUGCCCUAUGGGUUGUAAACUUCUUUUAUAUGGGAAUAAAGUGCAGUAUGUCUACUGCUUUGCCUGUACCUUAUGAAUAAGGAUCGGCUAACUCCGUGCCAGCAGCUGCGGUAAUACGGAGGAUCAGAGCGUUAUCAGGAUUUGUUGGGGUUAAGGGGAGCGUAGGCGGGUGGUUAAGUCAGUUGUGAAAGUUUGCGGCUCAACCGUAAUAUUGCAGUUGAUACUGGCAGCCUUGAGUACAGGAGAGGUAGGCGGAAUUCGUGGUGUAGCGGUGGAAUGCUUAGAUAUCACGAAGAACUCCGAUUGCGAAGGCGGCCUUCUGGACUGUAACUGACGCUGAUGCUCGAAAGUGUGGGGAGCAAACAGGAUUAGAUACCCUAGUAGUC